GCAGGUAUAGCUCAGUGGUAGGGCACAUGCUUAGCAUGCACGAGGUCCUGGGUUCAAUCCCCAGUACCUCCA
rnacentral:tRNA from 1 species